rnacentral:rRNA from 1 species
UCUCCCGUGAGAGUGGCGGAUUGGGAGGAACACGUGAGCAACCUGCCUUUGAGUCGGGGAAAACCGUUGGAAACGACGGCUAAUACCGGAUGUGGCGCCCUGUGACAUCGCGGGAGCGCUAAAGGGGGCCGCAAGGCUCCCGCUCGUAGAGGGGCUCGCGCACCAUCGAGCUUGUUGGCGGGUAACGGCCCACCAAGGCCUACGGUUAGCUGGUCUGAGAGGAUGACCAGCCCCACUGGGACUGAGAUACUGCCCAGACUCCUACGGGAGGCUGCAGUCGAGGAUCAUUUGCAAUGGGCGAAAGCCUGACAAUGCGACGCUGCGUGGAAGGAUGAAGGCCUUCGGGUUGUAAACUCCUGUCAUGGGGGAACAGGCGAGGGGAGUCAAUACCUCCCUUAGUUGAGUGUACCCCAAGAGGAAUUGGCGGCUAACUCUGUGCCAGCCGCGGC